rfam:Rhodoferax saidenbachensis strain DSM 22694, complete genome.
UCGGGGUGUCAGCUCCCCGGCGUCGGACCGCAAGGUCCCAAGACGGUGUCCCGUCCAAACGCUGU